AACGAACGCUGGCGGCAGGCCUAACACAUGCAAGUCGAACGAUAAGCCACCUUCGGGUGGUGGACAGUGGCAGACGGGUGAGUAACGCGUAGGAACGUGCCUUUCGGUUCGGGAUAACCCAGGGAAACUUGGGCUAAUACCGGAUACGCCCUCCGGGGGAAAGAUUCAUUGCCGAAAGAUCGGCCCGCGGCGGAUUAGCUAGUUGGUGGGGUAAAGGCCUACCAAGGCGACGAUCCGUAGCUGGUCUGAGAGGAUGACCAGCCACACUGGGACUGAGACACGGCCCAGACUCCUACGGGAGGCAGCAGUGGGGAAUAUUGGACAAUGGGCGCAAGCCUGAUCCAGCCAUGCCGCGUGGGGGAAGAAGGCCCUAGGGUUGUAAACCCCUUUCAGCGGGGAAGAUAAUGACGGUACCCGCAGAAGAAGCCCCGGCUAACUCCGUGCCAGCAGCCGCCGUAA
rnacentral:rRNA from 1 species